rnacentral:rRNA from 1 species
AGGGCACCACCAGGAGUGGAGCCUGCGGCUUAAUUUGACUCAACACGGGAAAACUCACCCGGCCCGGACACUGGAAGGAUUGACAGAUUGAGAGCUCUUUCUUGAUUCAGUGGGUGGUGGUGCAUGGCCGUUCUUAGUUGGUGGAGUGAUUUGUCUGGUUAAUUCCGAUAACGAACGAGACUCUAGCCUACUAAAUAGAUCGUCGGCUUACAAACGCCGGCGAGACUUCUUAGAGGGACAGGCGGUGAUUCAACCGCACGAAACAGAGCAAUAACAGGUCUGUGAUGCCCUUAGAUGUCCGGGGCCGCACGCGUGCUACACUGAAGUGAUCAGCGUGCUUUUUCAACCUACUCUGUCAAGAGUGGGGAACCCAAUGAACCUUCUUCGUGAUUGGGUUAGGGGAUUGUAAUUAUUCCCCUUGAACGAGGAAUUCCCAGUAAGCGCGAGUCAUAAGCUCGCGUUGAUUACGUCCCUGCCCUUUGUACACACCGCCCGUCGCUACUACCGAUUGGAUGUUUU